rnacentral:rRNA from 1 species
UCGGGGAAACUGCCCGAUGGAGGGGGAUAACUACUGGAAACGGUAGCUAAUACCGCAUAACGUCGCAAGACCAAAGAGGGGGACCUUCGGGCCUCUUGCCAUCGGAUGUGCCCAGAUGGGAUUAGCUAGUAGGUGGGGUAACGGCUCACCUAGGCGACGAUCCCUAGCUGGUCUGAGAGGAUGACCAGCCACACUGGAACUGAGACACGGUCCAG